CGAUCUCCCCCCGUGAGCUUAGCAGCGAUCCCAAGGAGCGGAGACGUCGCAGCAGCAGUAGCAGCGCCACUCCACCGUCUCGCCCCGUCCCGUCGGGCUCUCCUGCGCUCUUCGCCUCCUUUCUCCGCUCGCUUUCCCCGGGAAAGAGCUGCUCUCUCAGACUCCGCCAGCAUGCUGACCUGCCGCCUCCAGUGCGCCCUCGCCCUGCUCGUCUCGGUCGCCCUGGCGCUGAGUACCGUGGCCGCCGCCCCCUCGGACCCGAGGCUCCGGCAAUUCCUGCAGAAGUCGCUGGCCGCAGCGGCGGGGAAACAGGUAAGGGACCCAGGAGUCCGAGGGAGGGUGGAGGGAGAGAGGGGCGUGGGGAGCAGAGCUAGAAGGAAACCGGAGCGUCUCUGAGCAGGUGCAGAAUCCCUUUUCCUUAUCACUACUUCUAAGCAGUAGCAGCUGCUGGAUCAGACCCCAGACCUGCUUCCCCUUAAUGCAGAGGUAGACUGCCGCUGUCCAUAGAGGUUCCACUCCUCAGUUCUAUAAAGAGUUAAUACGAACAGCAGAAGAUAUCCCAAAUGGGUGUUUGGCAAGAGGUUAUUUUAUUUUAUUCAUUUAAUAAGUUUUCCCCUAGAAAUGGUAAAUCCGGAUUAACUGGGUGGGGAUACAGGUUGGCAUUUUGAUGAAGCCCACUGCACCACGGAACUGCUGAGUUAAGUGUCACAGGUAGCACUGACCUCUCAGCAAAAAACGGGUUGGAAGCGCCCUUACAUGCACUUACUGGGGGUAAAUCAAUUUGCACUCAGUGCGGGGCUAGAUGACCCGCAUUGUACUAGAUGACCCAGAUCUUCCAAUUCUACAGUUCUGUGAUUAUAUGCGUAAGCUUGUGCUGUAGCAAAAGAAACCUGCAAGUAGACAAAGGCACUAAACGAGCAGCGUGAACUUAAAAAAAAAUCAGUCAUAAAGCCAGCCUCGGAUGCAACCACACCACAACCGAAAUUAAUCCCGCUCGCUGAUAUAGACAUCUGGGAGACAUGACUGAGAGACGCAAAUUCCAAAGGUCCUAGGACUUCCUCGACACUUUGGGUGUGUCUUAGACUAAACUCUGAUCAGGGGGAAGCCUGUAGCUCAGAGUCCAAGCACGCCAUGCUCCAAGGUUUAAUCCUUGGCCAAAGCUCAGUGACAGAACAUCUGCUUUGCGUGCAGAACGUCCCAAACUCAAUUCCCACUGUCAACCUCUCCAGCUGGGAGAGACUCCUGCUGGAAACCACAGAGAGCCACUGGUCAGGGUAGACAACAGUGGGCUAGUUGGCUCAGCAGGUUCUGACCCAGUAUGAGGCAGGUUCCUAUGUUCCUUUUAAACCAGACCUUAAUUCGGGACCAUGAGAACUGGAAUCUGCUUUAUUUUUCAGAGGAAGAGGUCAGUGGUAGAGCAUAUGCAUCUGCAUCUGCGCUGCAAUUUCCCCACCCCACAUUGUUGUCAUCAGUUUCAAAAGCACAACUAAACACAUGCAAUACUAGAGAAAAGCUUCCCCGGAAUUUCCUAACAGCAGAAAGCAUUUUUAUGUUUUCAUCCAGUCCUUUUAUGUAAUAGGGAACUGGCCAGGGCUAACAGAGUUGUUUGGUGCGGAGCUUUCCGUGGUGCUGAAACGAACAUCACUCCAACAGCUCAGCCUGACCAAGGCUACUCAGAAGGAAGCCUUGCAUCCUAGCGAGUGUGUUUACAUUGCAGGCUUAAGAAAGUGACCAGAGGGAUGUUGCAGAGGGGAAAGGAAGUUGGCUUCAAUGCCAUGUAAGAGCACAGAGUUUCAGGGGCCAACUAUGUUGGCGAGCAUAGGAACAAAGAAAUCUGCCUCACACUGACUGUUGGUCCAUCUUGCUCAGUAUUAUCCACAGUGAUUGGCAGAACCUUUCCAGGGUUUCAGACAGGGAGUCUUCCCCAGCUACCUGGAAAUGUUUGGGUUUGAAUCUGGGACCUUUUGCCGGCAAAGCAUGCUCUCCACCACUGAGCCAAGCAAAUGUUUGAGCUGCACAAAAUGGCUCAAUGCAAUAGUGAGGUGCAAAUAUAGUGGUACCUCGGGUUAAGAACUUAAUUCGUUCUGGAGGUCCGUUCUUAACCUGAAACUGUUCUUAACCUGAAGCACCACUUCAGCUAAUGGGGCCUCCCACUGCUGCCGCACCGCCAUUUUGCGAUUUCUGUUCUCAUCCUGAAGCAAAGUUCUUAACCCGAGGUACUAUUAGCGGAGUCUGUAUCCUGAAGCAUCUGUAACCUGAAGUGUCUGUAACCUGAGGUACCACUGUAACUCUUUUUAAAGGUGCUGGUCCAAUAGCUGAAGAAUCUUUUAAAUUUUAUCUGUCUUUUCCGCUGAAAAUCUCCACCAGCUUAAAGAGCUGGUUCAUACAUGCUGUGACCCACCCUUCUGAGUGGAUCCAGAUUCCUGCUUCCUUCCGCUUUUGUUAGAUGCUGCCUUCUGCAAUAGCUGCAUCCAUAGGAAGCCAGACCAUUUGGUCCCUCUAGCCCAGUGUUGUCUACACUAAGUGGCAAUGGUUCUGAGGCAUGUUUCAGGUGGGGAGUUUCUUCCAGCCUUAAGUGGAGACAACGGGGAUCAAACCUCGGUGCUGUACCAUUGAGCUAGGGUCCUUCCAUUUGGCAGUGGGUGCCAAAGGGACCGAGGAAUGACAGGUGCUGGCACUGCCCUCCACCCACAAGCCUUGAACAUUUUCCUUUCAGAAAAUGUGAUGGCCUCAAAAUCCACUACAUGGUGAACCUCUCUAGACGAUGGGCCUCCUGUUCAGGGCCAGUCCUACUGUGGGUGAUGAUCAUGUGGAAGAUCCAAACCAACCUCUUUUCCUUGGAUCAAUUAUUGUACAGAUCACAGCUCCAUCUGCAAAUAAUUGGGGGGGGGAUAGGAGAGGGUAUGAGGUGAGAUCUUCAUAUCUGCCUUGGUGGAUCUGACGAAAGUUCACCUAGUCCAGCAUUUGCCUGCAAUUGCCAGCCAGGAGCUCCUGGAAAACUGAGAAGAAAAUUACUUACUAUUUCCAGCUGUUGUUUGUCCCUGCCCUCAAAGAAAACCUCACCUCUGGUACUGAGAGGCAAAAUGUGUCUGUACAUGGGGACGGCUUUAGCUAUUUUCUUCAGCAACCGCUUCUGGAUCCGUCUUAUAUGAUCUAAUCUAAUACUGAAUUCGGACCACUGAUCCAUCUUGCUCAACAUGGUUGACACUGACUGGCAGUUGCUCCCCAGGGUGUAGGUGGGUUCUCUCCCAGCCCUAUCUAGAGAAGUUUGAACCCAGGGUCCUCUUCAUGCCAAACAGAUGCUUUCUCUCUCUCUCUCUUUUUUAACCAUAAUAUUUAUUAGUUUUCAAUAGACAUAACAAAAAAGAGAAUAUGCAACAACACAACAACAACAUAAUAAAAAGUGAAAAAUAAGAAAAAAGAAUAACAAACUUAACAUGCCUAAACAGAAAAAAAAGAAACUCAACCAAUUAAUUAAAAUCCAUUUUCAUAAACAUUUUAGUUGACUUCCUCUAAUCUCCUCCAUCUGAAUUUCCUCUUAAUUUGAAUGUAGCAGUUUCCAAUAUCAUUAUUUCAUAAAACAAUAUUACAGUCAUAUUCCAGUUUCUUUACCUUUCUUAUAGUACAUUUUCUUAUUUAUACAUUUAAGUCUAAUUUAAUCCUAAGACUGAUUGGUUCUUUCAAGUGGUUACAUAUCUUUAAUAUUAGAAUAUUUAUUCAAAUAGUCUUUAAAUUUAUUCCAAUCUUCUUGGUAGUCCUCUUCUUUCUGGUUGUGGAUUCUCCCAGUGAGAUCAGCCAACUCCAUAAAUUCCAUCAUCUCAAACAGAUGCUUUCUCACGGAGGUAUGAUCCUUCCCAAUUAGGAACAUGAGAAACUGUGUUAUAACGAGUCAGAUCAGUGGUCCAUCCAGCUCAGGAGAUGGCAAUGGCUCUCCAGGGGCCUUUCCAAGGAUGGAGUGGGGAAUCUCUGGACCACAGACCAAACAUGGCCCGCCAGGCCCCUCCAUCCAUCCAGCCCAGGCCACCCCCCCCUCUUCCCAGACCACACCCCUCCCCAGCUCUGCUUUGUGCCUUCCUUGACCACUUUUGCCUGACUAGAAUGUCUCCUUGAACUUGCCUGCCUAAAUGGAGGUGUGUGGAUAGGGGUGUAGCCUACCAUGCGAAUGUAAGAUUCACACCUGUUGCUCUGCCCUCUGUUGUCUUUGGCUCCACCCACUACCGGCAUGUUACCACCAGAACAUUUCCCAUGAGGUCAUGUGACCCUCGGGCUGUGAAAAUUCCCCACUGCCAUUCUAGGUCCUCUUCAAGCUGUGCCUUUGUCCGAGAUGAAAUGAAUGUAAAUAGAAGGCAUUGUCCAGGGAUACAGAACCAAUUUCUGCCCCAGUGGCUCAUGUGGUCAUCAUCAAAAAAACUAUUGACAUGAGCCUCUCUCUUGUCUGAUAUGCAAUAUUGGUUAACUGGGUUUUUUUGUGAAAAAGCACAAACAUAACAAAAAGAGAGAAAACAACAACAACAACAACAACAACAACAACAACAAACGAAAGUGUAAACCAUAAAGCAUCUCAGCCUGGGAGGACAAAAGGACAAAGAUAUAGUGAAUUCAUUUAUUUUAUAAAAUUGAUUGUAAAAGAAAACCUCAAAGCAGUUUACAAAGAGAAUACAGCAAAAAAAUUAUCAGUCAAAUCAGUUAAAACAACUCUUUAAGAUAUUCAAAAGGUAAAACUGGCAAUGAAAUGAACUAAAAACAGACUCACACAUGCAUCAGCUGUCUAAAUAUCUGGGUAGGUUUGUCCAGUUUUUGCAGGUGGUUAAAAGAGUACAGUGCAGGUGCCUGUCAAUAGGCAGGGAGUUCCAAAGUGUAGGUGCUGAUUUCUCACAAAUGCGGAAUGAAUACUAUGUGGCACCUGUAAUGGUGCCAGCUGCAAAGGAGUAAUCAAGUUUUGACUCAUGCGAAGAUUCCCUUUACCAAUAACAAACAAACAAAACCAAGGUAUUCUCUACCUCUGAGUCCCAUCGUUAUUGAGAAUAGAGGUUCUGUGAAAUCUGGUAUGAGCCAGACAUUUGCACCUACUGGUGGCCCUGAGAUGCAAGGAAUCAUGCUAUAUAGCAAGAUAUAUGCUGAGCUCAGUCCCUCUCUCUCUCCCUCUCCCCCCCCUCUCUUCCUCAAAGGAAUUGGCCAAGUAUUUCCUGGCAGAAUUGCUCUCAGAACCAAGCCAGACGGACAACGAGGCCCUGGAAUCAGACGAUUUGUCUCGUGGUGGCGAGCAGGAUGAGGUGAGGCUGGAGCUGGAGAGAUCGGCCAACUUGAACCCAGCUCUGGGACCCAGAGAGCGCAAAGCCGGUUGCAAGAACUUCUUCUGGAAGACCUUCACAUCCUGUUAGCUCAAGAAACCCUUUCCUUUCCCUCUGUCUCCACCUCCAGCCUCUCCUGUCUUUCCCAGUCCCUUCAUGCCAGGAGCUGAAGACUGUAUUGUAUAAAAUUCAUUGUUAAGGUAAUAUGAAAAGGAAAAAAAAAAAAUACACCUCACUUUGAUUUUGAAGUUGUUUUAAUAAAACAUUCAGUUUCAAUUGUACACAAUUUCCUUGGCGUUUGUGAUUUCUGACUAUUUCUUCAUGACACACUGACCCCCACCCCCCACCCCACAUUGCAAGUCACUCUGAUGUGCCCUUUUAAAUCCCU
rnacentral:lncRNA from 1 species